GUGACUGUUAAGCCGCCGCCGAUCUCCUUUCUCUCUUUCGCUCUUCCCUCGCGUUGUGCGCCGUUGUAUAUCUUCUCUCUCGCGUGACCGAAAACAAACAACGGUAGAGAUUUUCGUGUUCGAGGGAUUGGCGGCGCCCGCGCCAACGGGAAUGAUUUUUCGCGAGAAAGAAGAGCCGAGCGCGGCGUGUUGUUUUCGUCGGCGUCAAGUAUUUGUUUCGAAAAACUUUGGCGGCACCACCACCACCACCACCGCCAGUGUGAAACUCGAUCAAGCGAGCUCAUUAGCGAGCGGCCUUCGAAGACUCGCUAGUGUGUUUUUGUUAUGGAGUUGCGCGCGGUAUCAGGUUGUGGCGCGAUAAUGGGAAUGCUCGCAGUCCGCGACGCGAUCUUUGUGCUACCGUCCGCGCCUCGCAUGUGCAUCGUGAAACUCUAUCUUCAUCGCAGGUUUCGGUUUCUCUUCAUCCCGGUAGCCUCUAAUCGGCUUUCCGUGAAGAGAGCGCGCUUCUGCGACCUUCUUCUGUGAGAAGAUUCCAGAGCGCGGUGUGUAAUCGCCUAAAAAGAUGAAAGCUGCACCUACGAGCCGAGAGUCUGUCGGCGGAUAUGAGACGCGCAGGUGAGUGCGUUCCGUAAGUCAUCAUUUUGAUACACAAUUGCGCGAAAAUUUCUCGAGAGAACUUGGUUCUUCCGCUAUUGAAGAAAAAAAGGACCCCUUUCCGCGGAAAAAAAAAA